AAUUGGCUCUGUUGUGUUGGCCAAGUCUGGCUAAUGCAUUAUGAAAGCUUCCCUGGCUUGGCUUAUCAUCCGACAGCGCUCGCUGCUUUACACCUUCGUAACGCGUUCUGUACAUGCUGUGAGCCCAGUUGACAUCCACAGACUGCUGGGUGAUAGGGAGGAGAACAAGGGAGCAAGGGAGCUGUGGCAGAAAGAGAGGUAGAAAGACACAGAGAAAGAAUUGCUGUCACAAGACUAACUGUCAUCGGGAAGAAUCACAGAGACACUUCUAGGAUGAAGCCCAGGUGCCUCCUCUCCACGGUGGACAGACUUCCCACCAUCAAUGAGAUGCAGGAGAGCAACGCAGAGGACGAAGACCAGGAUUAUUCCACACACACCAUGGAGAAGUAUGUGGACUUCAUCAGAGAGCUCUCCCAGCCGGCUCCCUACCCUCUCCACGGGCCCCUCAGGGGCCACCGCCGUUGGAUGGUGCACACAAGCCCCGGGGUAACGCCUGUGGCUCCAUCUACCUACGCACCCUGGGUUCCAGUUGAACUCUCAGAUAUAUCACUUACUUUAACUGACCAAAGAAACUGUGACUCAUCACUGCGUUUUAACCACAACCUGCUGGACUUGUUGGUUGCACAAUCCCUGUUUGCAGGUCUGGUAUGAGCCAAAGGAAGGAUUAAUGGGGGGAACAGAUUACCUCCACCACUGGAUGUACUCAGUUACCCCUGCAGCAUGCAUACUUUGACAUCAGCCCCAUGUUACGUGAUUAAUUUAUGUGUAAGAAGUAAUUGAGUAAAGCCACUUUCCAAAAGUCACAUAUAUUUCCUUUGAAGUACUAAAUGAAUGAAACAAAAGAUGAAAAGGGAAAAAUAUCAAGGGCAGACAAGACAAAUGAGCAGCUGGAGGUGUGAGCAAACUAAAUGGUUGCGUAGGGGCGCUCAGCCACCAGGGGGGCCCCAAACAAAUGGAAAUUGUCAACUCUCUUUAGGUUUUGGGUCCCGACCAUUUCAAUAUAUUGAAGGAUACACUCCCUGAUUUUUGAUACGAGACUCAUCUGAGGGCCCAAAUGUGGAAGAUGUAAAUUGACAUAAUAAAAAUUGGGUGGAGGAGCCCAGGUUAACUCAGUUGGUAGAGCAAGUACGCAUAUAUAGAGGUUAACUCCUCAACAGCGACCCUUGGCUGCAUGUCAUUCCCCUAUUUCUCCCCUCUCAUCUGUCAUGUGAAAAUGAAGGCCUAGAAAUACCCCAAAAAUUAUCUUAAAAAAAAAAAAUUGAAAUAAAGAAAAGUUGUGAGGAGACCCCAAAAUGAACUGAAAAUGGAUCUGGAUCUUUCUUUAAAUAUUCACAAAUACUUUGCUUUCCAAUGCUGCUGAGAAACCAACACCGAAGGCAGAUCUAGAAAUGACUAUAUUUAAUUAAUUUAAAAAGGUGAAAUCACAUCGGAAAUGUAAAUCAUUUUUAUGUCUGCAGUGUCAAAAGGAAAUUUAUUUUUUUAAAUACUUUUUUUAUUAUGACAUGACUUUUCCAUGCUGUAAUACCUAAAACAAUGUGUAUUGUAUUUCAAUUUCUCUCUUUUGUUAAUUUGUGUUAAUUAAGGCAUUUUUCAUCUUGGGUUAGCCCUGGAGAUGAGAUGAAUUAAGCAACAAUGCACCUUUAUGAUCCCUGCACUAUGCAAAUGUGCAGUACUGUGCUGUACAAAAGUUUCAGUUAUAGUUGUGUCUUUAAAAAACAUUUUGUUCAAUAUUAAAUAAAACAAUGGUGAGAAAAACAUGACUCCCGCUUCAA